rnacentral:rRNA from 1 species
CAAGAGCGUAUGUAAAAGUUGUUGCAGUUAAAAAGCUCGUAGUUGAACCUUGGGUUUGGUUGGCCGGUCCGCUUUUUUGCGAGUACUGGAUUCAACCGAGCCUUUCCUUCUGGCUAACCAGUCGUUUCGGCGGCUGGCGAACCAGGAUUUUUACUUUGAGAAAAUUAGCGUGUUCAAAGCAGGCAUUAGCUUGAAUAUAUUAGCAUGGAAUAAUAGAAUAGGACGUUAUGGUUCUAUUUUGUUGGUUUCUAGGACCAUCGUAAUGAUUAAUAGGGACGGUCGGGGGCAUCAGUAUUCAGUUGUCAGAGGUGAAAUUCUUGGAUUUACUGAAGACUAACUACUGCGAAAGCAUUUGCCAAGGACGUUUUCAUUAA